AGCCACCCCGGGCCGCCGCCGCCCGCGCCUGGCCGGGUCGCCUCCACCGCGCCCCCGUGCCGCCGUUUGCCAGAUCCGGCCACCGGCGCUCCGCACGCCCCGCCCGGCUCGGUGGCCGUCGUCCUCCUGCCGACCGGCGCCGGGGAAGAAGGGCAACGCCCCUGCACCUGCCCCAAACUGGUAGGAGGAGGAGGAGAGAAGAAGGGGCAAGGCCGCCGGCAGCAGGGAGAAGAGAAGAGAAGGGGCUGCAGGGGAGGAGGCAGGGAAGAAGAAAGGAGAAGGAGAGGAGAGAGGAGGAGGGGAGAAGAGAGGGGGCUAAAGGAGAAGGCAAGGAGGAGAAGGGAGGUGCCGUCGAUUUAGGGAUCGCUUCGGUCGUCCCCGUCGUCGUCUUGCUGUUGUCGUCGUCCUUGUCCAUAGCCGGCACCGUAGGUAUAACCCCUAUAUCUAAAUCGGGUUGUCGGCCAUCGUGCCCUAUGUGUCCUUGAUGGCCUUCGUGUCGAGUUUAUGGAUGUGUGGCCUUCGCGCCAGUUCGAGGCUUUCUAGGAGCACCAGCAGCUUUAGAUGCAGGACUUCGCCAACUACUUUCACUCUCCUUCAGAUCUCUGGUGUGGUCGUGCCUCCGCUGCCUCUCUAGCUGUUCGCUCCACUCUCUCUUCCUAGCCCUUUAGGCCCUUUAGUGCCUUCUCCGGCACAGUCGGUGGGGUCUUCGAACUCGACUCCUUGAGAUGGCGCUUCUCUAGGCCAUGGGUGCCCGGUUGGGCAGAGUCCACACACGUGCCCAGGUGGCGCUCCUCCUCCGCCUCCGACGCACGGGUGGUCUCCGUGGUCAGCUAGCGCUCCUCCACACCCUCCAGCAGCACGGGUGGUCUCCGUGGUCAGGUGGCGCGCCUGGGCCUCAGCACCCUGCAGGUUGGCCGCACAUGGGUGGCAAGGUGAGAGCUCUUCACACUCUCAGGGACACGCGGACGCCGGGUCAUAGCUGGACCAGUGAUGCAGGGACUCGUUUGUGACAUGGACUUGUUAUGGAUGUUGGAUGUGAGCCUUAGGAGGUGCGAUGUUGAACUAUUGUUGCAUUUGUGACUAUAUAUGUGGAUUUGUGACUAUUGAUGGAUGAAUGUGUGGAUUUCUAUUAUAUAUGUUAUGUGGAUGUCUAUUA